rnacentral:rRNA from 1 species
CGCGGCCUAUCAGCUUGUUGGUGAGGUAACGGCUCACCAAGGCAUCGACGGGUAGCUGGUCUGAGAGGACGAUCAGCCACACUGGGACUGAGACACGGCCCAGACUCCUACGGGAGGCAGCAGUAGGGAAUCUUGCGCAAUGGGCGAAAGCCUGACGCAGCAACGCCGCGUGGGGGCUGAAUGCCUUCGGGUUGUAAACCCCUUUCAGCAGGGACGAAAAUGACGGUACCUGCAGAAGAAGCUCCGGCCAACUACGUGCCAGCAGCCGCGGUAAUACGUAGGGAGCGAGCGUUGUCCGGAAUUAUUGGGCGUAAAGAGCUCGUAGGCGGUUCGGUAAGUCGGGUGUGAAAACUCAAGGCUCAACCUUGAGACGCCACUCGAUACUGCUGUGACUUGAGUCCGGUAGAGGAGUGUGGAAUUCCUGGUGUAGCGGUGAAAUGCGCAGAUAUCAGGAGGAACACCAGCGACGAAGGCGGCACUCUGGGCCGGUACUGACGCUGAGGAGCGAAAGCAUGGGGAGCAAACAGGAUUAGAUACCCUGGUAGUCCAUGCCGUAAACGUUGGGCACUAGGUAUGGGAUCAUAUCAACGGAUUCCGUGCCGUAGCUAACGCAUUAAGUGCCCCGCCUGGGGAGUACGG